rnacentral:ncRNA from 2 species
UGCGGCGGGGGCGACUGGCGCUGAACGUGGAGCGGACCACGGGGAAGCCCCCAGCACAUCCCGGAUCGCGCGCCUGGGUCGGAGCA